AUAGCUGGGAAGAAAAAGAGGAACACACUAGUUAAUCUUUGCAGUGUAAACCCGGGUCUUCAGUAUAUUCUGUCCAUAUCUUCACCUAUGCUUUAGUUGAGGCUAUGUGUUACUUAAAUGACAUGAAAGUGGAAAUAGCAUGAAACACUUCUAGAACUGUCUAUUAAAACCUACCUCCUUCUUUCCUUUCCCUUGCCUCUAGAUGAUCAACAGCAAUUACUAUGAUGGCCUUGAAAGCCAUUCCUAAACAUCUGGGUUCUUAAAGAUGUAGCAGAGAGCUCUCUUACCCCUGCUCAGACUAGGAACAUAUAUACAGGAUUAUCUUACCAAGCCUCUCUGGACUGUUAGAUGAGGAAGAAGGAAAGCUCUACUAUAUUAUCCUUGACCCUUUACAUAGAGUCUUCAUUAUAAUGAUUUAUUUCCUUCUUGUUAGUCUGGAAUCUGAUAUUCAACAAAGAGACUGUCAACAGCUAAAGUGAAAAUAUAUUACACUUGCUAACAGCCAGACUGGAGGCAAUGUGGAAUUAAACAUUGUGAGCUAGGAAGAGAAAGACUGGUGUGUGGUAGCUUGGAUGAGAAUGGCCUCCACAGGUUCAUAUAUUUGAAUGCCUACUCCCAGUUGAUUGACUGCUUCAGAGAUACGGCCUUGUUGGAGAUGUGUAAUGGAGGGAUGGCUUUGAGGUUUCUAAAGCCCAUAUCAGUCUCAUUCUCUCUCCUCCUGCAAACUUGUGGACAGGAUGAUGUUGGCUCUCAACCACUCCUUCAGUGCCAUGCUUGUCUGCCUGCUGCCACGCUCCCCACCAUGAUCUUCAUGGACUUAGCCUUUGAAAUGGACCAUCUCCCACGGAGACCAAGACAGAGAAGUGUGCCCCGGGAUAGGAAGAAGGAAGAACUGGAUGGCUAUUUGAAAAUCAAGGGCCUGGAGAGGGCUUGAUGGUCACCAGAAUCCAUUCUCUCCUUGUUAUGGUUUUGAUAGAAAAUGUCCCUAACAAGCUCGUGUGUUUGAACACUUGGUUCCCAGCUGAUGGAAUGUUUUGGGGGUGUUGUGGAAUCCCUAAAAGGAAGAGCCUAGCUGGAGUAAGUAGGUUACAAUAGUGCUCUCUUGAGUGCACAUCACCCCUAGAUCCUCCCUGCUUGCCUGGCCCUGGCCCUGGCCCUGGCCCUGGCCCACUGAGAUGACGUGAGGAACACUACCACAUGCAGCUCCUUCAAGGAACUCCUUCAUACCUUCUUUGCUGUGCCAGACUGAAUCCUCCCAAUCUAGUAGACAAAAUAGACCCUCCCUUAAGUCACUUCUUCCCAAGUACUCGAUCACAUAGAUGAGAAAAGUCAUGAAUGUCCUCCUAUACAUGGACUGCACUAGUUUCUUGCUGCUCUUGGGUUGGUUAACUCAGGUGGCAAACAAAGUGAUAAUCUGACCCAAUACAGGAGUUCUCAUGACGAACAAAACUGCUACAUCAGCCUGUUGAUUCCUAAACUCUUCCCUGGCUGUAGACUUGCCCCGAUCAAGUUACAGCAGCAUCCACGAGACCUGUAAUAGAAGCCAUCACUUACCUGUACAUGCUGAAGACUGUGUUGCCGUUGUGCAUAAGGUACACAUACACUUCCUCUACGUCCUCAUGCUUCAUCAUGCUGAAGGUGAAGAAAUACACACCUGGAGAGAGCAGGGAUUUACGCAUUCACUUAUACAUAGGCAAUGAGUCUUGUGAUCUCAUACCUGGCUUUGUUACUUUCCUGUUAUUGUGUAGUUUCUUCAUGGCCUGUUGCUAUGACUAUCCUCUCAUCUGUUUACCUUAAAAGUGCUGUAUUUUUAACUUUCCUAAUGUAUUUCCUGGUUAUACUUAGUGAGAUUUUUAAAAACCAUUAAUGUAAUGAGUCAAACAUGGCAUUAAAAUGGACAACCACAUCCCACAAAUGUUAGCCAAGAUGAUAAAAUACUGGAGCACAGAAAGGGUUCAGGAAAUGUUUCACAUGACUGCUGUAAAUGAGUAAUGUGUAAAUAAAAAUAUCCAACUUUAACUCA